rnacentral:rRNA from 1 species
GACGAACGCUGGCGGCGUGCUUAACACAUGCAAGUCGAACGAAGUGGCGAACGGGUGAGUAAUACGUGGGUAACCUGCCCUCCUUUUUCGGAUAAGGCUUGGAAACGGGGUCUAAUACCGAAUCAUGGGGGAUGGGCUCGCGGCCUAUCAGCUUGGUGGAGGGGUGAUGGCCUACCAAGGCGGUGACGGGUAGCCGGCCUGAGAGGGUGACCGGCGACAUUGCGACUGAGCGACGAGCCAGACUCGUACGCGCGGCAGCAGUGGGCGAUAUUGCAGAAUGGGAGAAGGCGCGAGGCAGCGACGGCGCGUGGGGGAUGAAGGCCGUCGGGUUGUAAACCUAUAUAGGUAGCGAACGGGUAGGUGGAGAAGAAGCGCCGGCUAACUACGUGCCAGCAGCCGCGGUAAUAC